AGCGCUGACGGUCCUACCUGAGGUGGUUCCCAGGGCCAGGAGGAGGCGAGUCCGGUGACACUGCACUAGCGAAUUCUGAGAAGGGGACUGCGGAGCUACUGUUUUCUGAGGUCUCAGCCCUUCCUGCGUGUGAGGGGUCCGCCCGGUUAAAUCAGCAAUGUGACGCCGAGGGCCAUCGAAUGCGAGCUCUUGAAGGGUCCUCCUUUUGGGGAAUGACAGCACCAAGUAGGGAGUCACAGGACGCCAGACUCUUCCUGGAGCACAUAAUUACUUUGUUAUACAACGCUCUCCAAUUCCGCACAAAUCCUGCUCACAAACAAAACAGAAAAUAGGGUGGAACCUGGCCUCUAUUUGAGUUUACAGUUAAGUUCCUGAGGUCAGAGCUUUGGGAAAGACCAGGUUUUAAAACCUGUAGCUGCCCCUCGGAGCUCCCAAGGAAAGAACUUCUCAGGCGUUCCCAACCUCCGACUCUUUGUCUUCCAGCUAUUUCUAUGUGGUAACCGCAAGCAACUGUGAGGAAAGAAGACGGAGGAAGCAUCAGGGGACCUAGAGUUUCCUUGACACCACGGUGACACUACAGAGCCCGAGCAAUUGCAGCACAGGUUAAGGAUCUGCAACAAAAUUCUCGUCACACCAGCACAGCCACACAUCUGUCACAGCCUCACAACAGUAACUACCCACACGAAGGCACAUCCCAGCCCGCCGGCUCUCAAAGUGUCACACACGUACACUCCCACCCACUCCCCAUCUGUCCGUGCACAGAGAACCCUCCACUGCGGUUUAGGAACCCCCAAGCCUGAGAUUCCGGUAGCAAGUGGCUAUAUCAAAAGCUUCCAUGCUGUAAACACGUCCUCUACCACCCCUAUUGGUUCAGGCCGGAUUCCGAUUAAUUCCGUUGCCCAGAUGCCAGCCUGCAGUCUCCCUGUGCCUGUUAACAUCCUGAGAUGAGUUAAACUCACCUUGCAAAGCGCGAGAGCCGCGCUCUAAAACGGAAAGGAACACAAGGAUCCAGUGUGACCGCUGCCCUCUGGGAAAUGUAGUUCGAGCUUUAACGGCCGCGGCCGCGGUGGCUUGUGGGAAAAGUAGUCGGAAGCUCAGAAGCCCUGCUAGAAGGAGAGCAGGCUGGGGACAAUCCUGGGCUUGACAGAGAGUUUAACUCGUUACCAGGAGUCACAAGGCAAGGACGUGUAUCGCUGGCAGGGAAACUGCGAAGAGGGUAUCUUGUGCACGUCCUGGUGGUCUAGAGUCCUGGUGGUUGGUCUGUGCCAAGAAUUCUGAGAAGGGGAAUCCGAAAGUCGGGGCUGCCCGAAGCCUCAGGCCUGUGAGUGCACCAUACUGUGAAGCGCCCAAGUACAAGCCCCGAGGCUGGAUGUGAGCUCCUGAGGGCAGGGGUUACAGGGUAGUGUCCUCAAAGGUAGCUGCUGCCUGUUGAUAAUGUACGUGAAAAGUUAAGUUUUACUGCCAGGAAUGGAUUGGUUUCGUCAAUAAAUCCUGUUAAGGUCACCGCAAUCUCUUCAUUACCGCCAUUGGUGAAUUUCAUGUGAUGGAAGAAAUUGUCACAUAUUGAGGUAUGGGAAGGUCAUUCUGGCUUAUGCAGGAUCUAACUUAAACUUUUUGCUAACUAGAACAGCCUGUUCGGUGGCAUAUUAAACAUGUAUAAUACAUCUACUUCAACCAUUAAAGAAAAGAAUGCAUUUAAAAAUCAAAGGGGAGUAACUGUGGUUCAGGCAUCCAAAAUGGAGCCAGGUGACCAUUGUGAAUGUGGUUUCAGACACGUCCCUGUGUCACUGAGAACUUGAAUUUUCUGAACGCUAUCAGACUCAGAGAGACUGUCAGCUGUUCUCAAGAUAAUAUCUGCUAAAAGCUGCCAACUGCAGCCCUAUGCUCAAGGUCUCCCCUUGUAACGAUGCAACGAUUUUGGACACCAAUCAGUCUUUCCUUAACAAGCACUCCUACUCCCUGCCAGCUCUAAUCCUAAUUCUUUACAAACAGUUUAUGUAAUUUUGCAGUUUUUGCCUUUAUAAGCUUCCCCACUUUAUGUAGUCUGGUGGUACACAAUUCAAAUGCUUUUUGAAUCUUUGUCUCCCCAGCUGUAGU